rnacentral:rRNA from 1 species
GACGAACGCUGGCGGCGUGCUUAACACAUGCAAGUCGAACGGAAAGGCCCUGCUUUUGUGGGGUGCUCGAGUGGCGAACGGGUGAGUAACACGUGAGUAACCUGCCCUUGACUUUGGGAUAACUUCAGGAAACUGGGGCUAAUACCGGAUAGGAGCUCCUGCUGCAUGGUGGGGGUUGGAAAGUUUCGGCGGUUGGGGAUGGACUCGCGGCUUAUCAGCUUGUUGGUGGGGUAGUGGCUUACCAAGGCUUUGACGGGUAGCCGGCCUGAGAGGGUGGCCGGCCACAUUGGGACUGAGAUACGGCCCAGACUCCUACGGGAGGCAGCAGUGGGGAAUAUUGCACAAUGGGCGGAAGCCUGAUGCAGCAACGCCGCGUGCGGGAUGACGGCCUUCGGGUUGUAAACCGCUUUCGCCUGUGACGAAGCGUGAGUGACGGUAAUGGGUAAAGAAGCACCGGCUAACUACGUGCCAGCAGCCGCGGUGAUACGUAGGGUGCGAGCGUUGUCCGGAUUUAUUGGGCGUAAAGGGCUCGUAGGUGGUUGAUCGCGUCGGAAGUGUAAUCUUGGGGCUUAACCCUGAGCGUGCUUUCGAUACGGGUUGACUUGAGGAAGGUAGGGGAGAAUGGAAUUCCUGGUGGAGCGGUGGAAUGCGCAGAUAUCAGGAGGAACACCAGUGGCGAAGGCGGUUCUCUGGGCCUUUCCUGACGCUGAGGAGCGAAAGCGUGGGGAGCGAACAGGCUUAGAUACCCUGGUAGUCCACGCUGUAAACGGUGGGUACUAGGUGUGGGGUCCAUUCCACGGGUUCCGUGCCGUAGCUAACGCUUUAAGUACCCCGCCUGGGGAGUACGGCCGCAAGGCUAAAACUCAAAGGAAUUGACGGGGCCCCGCACAAGCGGCGGAGCAUGCGGAUUAAUUCGAUGCAACGCGUAGAACCUUACCUGGGUUUGACAUGGAUCGGGAGUGCUCAGAGAUGGGUGUGCCUCUUUUGGGGUCGGUUCACAGGUGGUGCAUGCCUGUCGUCAGCUCGUGUCGUGAGAUGUUGGGUUAAGUCCCGCAACGAGCGCAACCCUUGUUCACUGUUGCCAGCACGUUAUGGUGGGGACUCAGUGGAGACCGCCGGGGUCAACUCGGAGGAAGGUGGGGAUGACGUCAAGUCAUCAUGCCCCUUAUGUCCAGGGCUUCACGCAUGCUACAAUGGCUGGUACAGAGGGUGGCGAGCCUGUGAGGGUGAGCGAAUCUCGGAAAGCCGGUCUCAGUUCGGAUUGGGGUCUGCAACUCGACCUCAUGAAGUCGGAGUCGCUAGUAAUCGCAGAUCAGCAACGCUGCGGUGAAUACGUUCCCGGGGCU